AAAAAAGGAACCGAAGCAGAUUUUAGAACAAAGACAAAAAUUAAAAUCGACUGUGUUGUGCUUUUUCUGUUAUUGUAGGUAACGGCGGUCCUCACCGCCGGCGUUGGGAGGCUGAGAAGAGGGAGUCGAUCCAGCCCCCUUGCUGUUGGGUUUUCUUGUGGCGGCGCGUGGAUCCACGCGCCGGAACUGUUCACGCAGCCCCCAGGAGUCCUUCCCUGCAAUUUCUGGAGUUUUUAGGGGCCAUUUUGUAAAUUUUAAAGUUUUAAUGUAAUUUUUGUUUAUUUAUUUUAAAUUUGUAAUAUGUGAAUGUAAAAGAAAAAAGAAGAAAAUAAAUAAUAAGAAGAGAUGUGUGC
rnacentral:lncRNA from 1 species